GAUGAAGAACGUAGCGAAAUGCGAUAAGUAAUGUGAAUUGCAGAAUUCAGUGAAUCAUCGAGUCUUUGAACGCACAUUGCGCCCCCUGGUAUUCCGGGGGGCAUGCCUGUCCGAGCGUCAUUGCUGCCCUCAAGCCCGGCUUGUGUGUUGGGUCUCGUCCCCCUUCCCGGGGGGACGGGCCCGAAAGGCAGCGGCGGCACCGCGUCCGGUCCUCGAGCGUAUGGGGCUUUGUCACCCGCUCUGUAGGCCCGGCCGGCGCUUGCCGAUCAACCAGAACUUUUUUCCAGGUUGACCUCGGAUCAGGUAGGGAUACCCGCUGAACUUAAGCAUAUCAAUAAGCGGAGGA
rnacentral:misc_RNA from 1 species